ACGCGCGCGGGGCAACCUCGUCUCGCCUCCCGGCCCGACGGAGCCCUCGCCUCACCUUUUCCAGCAGCUCCGCCGCCGGCCCGUCGUCCUCCUCGCCUCCGGUCCCAUUCGCCGCCGCAGCCGCCUCGGCCUGACAGUCGCCCGUAGGGGAGAACUGAGGUCGCUUGAAGCGCUUCGUCCGGCUCUUGCCCAUGGUGACGUGCGCUGGGCGGACAGACCACCGAGAGAGGAGGGCAACAGCAGGCGGUGGAGGCUGCCGCGCCGUUAACAAGAGUCUCACUCUGCUGUCCAGGCUGGAGUGCAAUGGUGCGAUCUCGGCUUAUUGUAACCUCUGCCUUGGAGUUCAAGCAGUCCUCCUGCCUUAGCCUCCUAAGUAGCUGAGAUUACAGCUCCAGCUACCAUGCGGUGACCACGGGCCCGGGUGCUUCUUGCUGUGAUGAAUGAGCCACAGGGACCAGGUCUGCAUGCUCUGCUGCGCAUUGCUUAACCCCGACAGCUCCUUCUCCAGCGCCGCCUCAGAGAAGACUGACAUCCCUUCCACCCCACAUUCACGCCGUCCCACACUGGGGUGACAGGAGGAGAGUUAAGUUGCCCUCUCGCAGCCUCGCCCGCUCAACUCACCCUUUCCACACCCUCACUACCACCCUGCUUGGUAGGAUUUAAUCCUAACACAUAUUACCCAAAAUCCCAUCUAACUCAUCCGAACUUUGGAAAGUGACACACCUUAAGUGGUUGUGAUUAAAACAGGCAUUAACUUCUUUUGCUCCAGUGUGCUAAGAAACAUUUGAAGGACAUUCUUUUGGUUUUAUUUGUUUGUUUGUUUGUUUGUUUUUGAGACAAGGUCUCACUCUGCCGCCCAGGCUGGAGAGCAGUGGCGCCAUCAUACUCACCAUAGUCACCAUAGCCUUGAACUCCUGUGCCCAAGUGAUCCUUCCAUCUCAGCCUCUUGAGUAGCUAGGACUACAGGCGCACACCACCAUGCCUGGCUAAUGUUUUUAAAAAUUUUUUGUAGAGAUGAGGUCUCUCUGUGCUGCCCAGGCUGGUCUCCAACUCCUGGUCUCAAGCGAUCCUCCUGCCUCGGCCUCUCAAAGUGCUGGGAUUACAGGCAUGAUCCACUGUUGAAGCUACAUACAUAGGCAGCUCAUGACCCAGCAAUUCCACUCCAUGGCAUUCCCAAGGGAAGUGAUAUAUCCACACAGACUUGUACAUGAUUAUUCAUAGAACCUUUAUGAAUUAUAGCCCCAAACUGAAAACAACCCAAAUGCCCAUCAAUCCGUAAAUGGAUAAACAAAGAAAGGAACAAAUUGCCAACAUGCGUGUUAACAUAGAUAAAAUCUCAAAAGCAUGUUGACAAAAAAAAAAAAUCAAAAGCCUGUUGAACAAAAGAAGCCAGAGACAGGAUUAUUGUACUGCAUUAUUAUACUAUGAUGUCAUUUGCAUGAAAAUCUAGAAAAGACAAAUCUACAGUGAUAGAAGCAGGACAGUAUUUUCCCGAGGCCAGGAAUUGGGGGUGGGACCUGGCAAAGGAAACGUUUAAGAGGAUAACAAUAUUCUGCAUCUUGCUCAUGGUGAUUGUUACACAGGUGCCACAUUUACUAAAAUUCACACUGUACAGCUUAAAUGGAUGCAUUUUAUUAUAUGUAAAGUUUUUUUUUUUUUUUUUUUUGAGACAGAGUCUCACUCUGUCACCCAGGCUGGAGUGCAGUGGCACGAUCUCCGCUCAUUGCAACCUCCACCUCCUGGGUUCAAGCGAUUCUUUUGCCUCAGUCUCCUGAGUAGGUGGGAUUACAGGCGUGUGCCACCAUGCCCGGCUAAUUUUUCUAUUUUUAGUAGAGACGGGGUUUCACCAUGUUGGUCAGGCUGGUCUCAAACUCCUGACCUCGUGAUCGUGAUCUGCCUGCCUCGGCCCCCCAAAGUGUUGGGAUUACAGGUGUGAGCCACUGCGUCCAGCCUAAAGUUGAUUUUUUUAAAGCCCACAGAACCUGUCUCUGUUUUGAUUAGUUCCCCAGAUUCGUUGUUUUUUUUUUUCGUUUUUGGUUUUUUUUCUUUUUUUGAGUUUCGCUCUUGUCACCCAGGCUGGAGUGCAAUGGUGUGAUCUCGGCUCACUGCAACCUCUGGCUCCUGGGUUCACGCAAUUCUCCUGCCUCAGCCUCUGGAGUAGCUGAGAUUACAGGCGUCCGCCACCACUCCAGGUUGAGUUUUGUAUUUUUAGUCAAGACAGGGUUUCACCAUGUUGGCCAGGCUGGUCUUGAAUUCCUGACCUCAGGUGAUUUGCCUGCCUCAGCCUCCCAAAGUGCUGAGAUUACAGGCAUGAGCCACGGCGCCCGGCAUCCAGAUUCGUUGUUAAUUUUAAUGGGUUGCACUCCCUGUUUGGAGAGUGAGCUUCCUGCUGAUGGUCAAUAUGUAUGUAUGUAUGUAUGUAUGUAUGUAUGUAUAUUUUUUUGACAGCAGGUCUCACUUUGUUGUCCACAGCUUGCUGCAGCUUCCUGGACUCAAGCAAUCCUCCGGCCUCAGCCUCCUGAGUAGCUGGGACUACAGACAUGCACCACCACACUCGGCUAAUUUUUUUGUAUUUUUUUGUAGAAAUGGGGUCUCACCAUGUUGCCCAGGCUGGUCUGGAACUCCUGGGCUCAAGUGAUGAUCCUGCCUUGGCCUCCCAAAAUGCUGGGAUUACAGGCGUGAGCCACCGCGCCCGGCCGGCCACUAUUUAUUGAUCCCUCGAUAUGUGCCAAAUGCUGCUCUAAGAGCUUUGCAUAUAUUAAGCUACUAAAUCUACCAACCAUGCCACACAAUGUCAACAGCUCCGUGUUAGAGAUGGGAGAACUGAGGCACAGAGAGGGCAAGCCUCUUGCCUAAGAGCACAGCACGUGAUUUUUGUAAGUGACAAACAGAAUUUAACCUACAUAGUCAGGCUCCAGAGUUUAGUUUGUAAUAAUUGCAAUACACUGUCUCCUACUGAAUUUGCUGAUAGAGCUACUAUCAGCUAGUAGCUACUAUCAGAUAGAGCUACUAAGAGCUAGUAAAUUAAGGAAAUCAAAGUUUUAAUUAAUAGAUAACACCAGGUAAAAGGAGGAACAUAGAAAAAUGACUAAAUAUGAGAGCAGGGGAAGGGUUCCCAAAUUGGGCAAUAUGCUUUCUAUACCUGUUUCCCCACUUGUGAAAUAAACUACUCCACCUAGCAAACUCA
rnacentral:lncRNA from 1 species